rnacentral:rRNA from 1 species
CAAUCUCUCACUCUUCGACGACAAAUCCUUCUAUCUCCGGCCGCCGUUUUCUGGAUGCGCAGCCAAAAAAGACCCGUCGCGAUGUCAAGCGGAGGACGAGGCGUGGUGACCCAGGGGGCCGCGGCGGCUCGCCGCGGUGCAAACGAGCUCACGACGACGAGGUCGGGAGCUCCGCCAUCUGCAACCCGGUCGAGGACUGGUGUUGCGUGCAGGCGAGGGAGCGUGGCGCCCUCUCCUACAGCAGCGGUCAGGGGGCAUGGAGGGAGUUCGACCGCCUCCACGAGAUCCUUUAGCCGACCACCAAGCGCCUCCGCGAGGGCAUGAAGGCGGAGCUCGAGUUCGCCGAGGCGAAACAGAUGGCCGCUGUCGGAGAAGAAUGCGCCGCCGCACGGCUCGAGGCGGCCAAAGAGGACUACUAGCUCGCCUUUGUCCUCUCCAAUUCCGUGAUGGAGUAUCAUCUCCAUAUCAAGAAGGAUUAAGUAGUUUAGAUUAGGUUUCAUCUAAUGUGUUUAAGUUUGUGUGAUGAACUCCGGUGAACCAUGGUGGUGGAAACUAUGGUUUAUGUACAAUGUUUAAAUUAUGCGGUAUGGUUUGGGGGGUCUGCUCUGCCAUGCCUUUCGCGGUACAACAAUUUUUUUACCGUAUCC